CUUUACAUGAUUAUUUAUAACAAGACUUCGCCCAUGUCCUCAUGAACAAAAUUAACUACUCACAAAUCAUCACCAUGUUCAAUAUUAGAGCUGUAAUAGUUAUGAAUAAGGAUCUGAACAUAUUAUCUUCCACCAAAUAAACCAACUAGCAUCAACUACAAGAUGUAAUCAACACUACUAGUAACCCACAUGUACCAAUCUGAGGUUUUGAGACAAAGAUUGAAUACAAGAGAUGAACUAGGGUUUUAGAUGGGAUGGUGCUGGUUAAGAUGUUGAUGAAGAUUGGUCCUCCCAUGAAGAAGGAAGCAUUGGCAAAAUCACUCUGCCGAAGAGAAAAAGGACCUGUGCCCAGGUUUUCGCUUCGAGACGGCAGCGCUUCAUCCUGAAAGUAUCUUCUUAUUUUGUUUCUAAG
rnacentral:lncRNA from 1 species